UCGCUUCAGCAGCGCAUUUAGUAAAAUCGGAAGGGUACAGAGGAGAUCAGCAUGGCCCCUGUGCAAGGAUGACACGCAAAUUCAUGAAGCGUCCCGUAGUUCA